UACAGAGGGUGCAAGCGUUAAUCGGAAUUACUGGGCGUAAAGCGUGCGUAGGGGGUUUGUUAAGUUGGAUGUGAAAUCCCCGGGCUCAACCUGGGAACUGCAUUCAAAACUGACUGACUAGAGUAUGGUAGAGGGUGGUGGAAUUUCCUGUGUAGCGGUGAAAUGCGUAGAUAUAGGAAGGAACACCAGUGGCGAAGGCGACCACCUGGACUAAUACUGACACUGAGGUGCGAAAGCGUGGGGAGCAAACAGG
rnacentral:rRNA from 1 species